GUUCUCUCUUUGGCAGCACAUAUACUAAAAUUGCAAUGAUACAGAGAAGAUUAGCAUGGCCCCUGCGCAAAGAUGAAAAGCAAAUUCAAUAAACAAGCCCUUU